AGAAGUUGACGGGGAGCACUACGAACGGGUGGAGCCUGCGGUUUAAUGAUCAACGCGAAUCUCACCGGGGGCACAGCAAUAUGAAGGUCAGGCUGAAGACCUUACCGGAUUAGCUGAGAGGUGGUGCAUGGCCGUCGUCAGUUCGUACUGUGAAGCAUCCUGUUAAGUCAGGCAACGAGCGAGACCCACGUCCACAGUUGCCAGCAUACCCUCCGGGGUGAUGGGUACACUGUGGAGACCGCCGCUGCUAAAGCGGAGGAAGGAAUGGGCAACGGUAGGUCAGUAUGCCCCGAAUCUCCCGAGCUACACGCGUGCUACAAUGGUUGGUACAACGAGUUGCGAGUCGGUGACGGCGAGCUAAUCUCUUAAAGCCAAUCUCAGUUCGGAUUGUAGGCUGCAACUCGCCUACAUGAAGUCGGAAUCGCUAGUAAUCGCGGAUCAGCACGCCGCGGUGAAUACGUUCCCGGGCCUU
rnacentral:rRNA from 1 species